GACGAACGCUGGCGGCGUGGAUUAGGCAUGCAAGUCGAACGGUAUCAUCCUUUCGGGGGUGAGAGAGUGGCGAACUGGUGAGUAACACGUAGGUUAUCUACCCUCAAGACGGGGACAACCCAGGGAAACUUGGGCUAAUACCGGAUGUGAGCAACUUUUAGUUGUUUGAAAGGUGGCGUAAGCUGUCGCUUGGGGAUGAGCCUGCGUCCUAUUAGUUAGUUGGUGAGGUAACGGCUCACCUAGGCAAUGAUAGGUAGGCGGCCUUAACGGGUGGUCGCCCACACUGGGAUUGAGAUACGGCCCAGACUCCUACGGGAGGCAGCAGUCGAGAAUAGUCUACAAUGGUCGGAAGACUGAUAGUGCGACGCCGCGUGAACGAUGAAUCCCUUCGGGGUGUAAAGUUCUUUUAUAUGUGAGCAGUGCUUCUUAUAUUAACAGUAUGGGGAGAGAGAUAUUAGCAUAUGAAUAAGCAACGGCUAACUCCGUGCCAGCAGCGCGGUAA
rnacentral:rRNA from 1 species